rnacentral:rRNA from 1 species
UAGGGAAUAUUGGGCAAUGGGGGAAACCCUGACCCAGCAACGCCGCGUGAGGGAAGAAGGUUUUCGGAUUGUAAACCUCUGUUCUUGGUGAAGAGAAGAAGACGGUAGCCAAGGAGGAAGCCCCGGCUAACUACGUGCCAGCAGCCGCGGUAAUACGUAGGGGGCGAGCGUUGUCCGGAAUGAUUGGGCGUAAAGGGUGCGUAGGCGGCGAUACAAGUCAGAAGUGGAAGUCCUGUUUUCAAGGCAGGAAUUGCUUUUGAAACUGUUAUGGUUGGAUGGCAGGGGGGUUAUCGGAAUUCCCGGUGUAGCGGUGAAAUGCGUAGAGAUCGGGAGGAACACCAGUGGCGAAGGCGGGUAACUGGACUGCAACUGACGCUGAGGCACGAAAGUGUGGGGAGCAAACAG